AAUCAAGCUGCAAAAUCUUCAGAAUUCUCUGGGAAAAGAAGCUUUGGAGUAAUUUUAAGUUGAAAAGGGAGUUUUUCAUGAACCAAAGUGGACGGUGUGUUAAAGAAAUGCUCUAUUUUGAGACCAACGCCGGGAGUACAAAUGUGAACUUGGAAGGAGUGACUGCGCCCCUUUCCACAGCCAGCUCAUCCAGUCCAUCCAGCUAAGGCCAUAUUGGGAAAGACCUCCUACUUACUCUGUCGGUCGUCUCCGAAAGGUGGCUUUUGCACAAGACGAGUAUACU